UACGAAGGGUGCAAGCGUUAAUCGGAAUUACUGGGCGUAAAGCGCACGCAGGCGGUUGGUUAAGUCAGAUGUGAAAGCCCCGGGCUCAACCUGGGAAUUGCAUUUGAAACUGGCCAACUAGAGUAUGUGAGAGGGGGGUAGAAUUCCAAGUGUAGCGGUGAAAUGCGUAGAGAUUUGGAGGAAUACCAGUGGCGAAGGCGGCCCCCUGGCACAAUACUGACGCUCAGGUGCGAAAGCGUGGGGAGCAAACAGG
rnacentral:rRNA from 1 species